rnacentral:rRNA from 1 species
CUCUGCCUACGGGGGGCAGCAGUGGGGAAUAUUGGGCAAUGGGGGAAACCCUGACCCAGCGACGCCGCGUGAGGGAAGAAGGUUUUCGGAUUGUAAACCUCUGUCCUUGGUGACGAUAAUGGCGGUAGCCAAGGAGGAAGCCACGGCUAACUACGUGCCAGCAGCCGCGGUAAUACGUAGGGGGCGAGCGUUGUCCGGAAUUACUGGGGGUAAAGGGAGCGUAGGCGGGAGAGCAAGUCGACUGUGAAA